CUAGAGCUAAUACAUGCUGAAAAUCCCGACUUCGGAAGGGAUGUGUUUAUUAGAUAAAAAACCAAUGCCCUUCGGGGCUUUUUGGUGAUUCAUGAUAACUUUACGGAUCGCAUAGCCUUGCGCUGGCGACGGUUCAUUCAAAUUUCUGCCCUAUCAACUUUCGAUGGUAAGGUAUUGGCUUACCAUGGUUUCAACGGGUAACGGGGAAUUAGGGUUCGAUUCCGGAGAGGGAGCCUGAGAAACGGCUACCACAUCCAAGGAAGGCAGCAGGCGCGCAAAUUACCCAAUCCCGACACGGGGAGGUAGUGACAAUAAAUACUGAUACAGGGCUCUUUUGGGUCUUGUAAUUGGAAUGAGUACAAUUUAAACCUCUUAACGAGGAACAAUUGGAGGGCAAGUCUGGUGCCAGCAGCCGCGGUAAUUCCAGCUCCAAUAGCGUAUAUUAAAGUUGUUGCAGUUAAAAAGCUCGUAGUUGAAACUUGGGCCUGGCUGGCGGGUCCGCCUCACCGCGUGCACUCGUCCGGCCGGGCCUUCCUUCUGAAGAACCUCAUGCCCUUCACUGGGCGUGCUGGGGAAUCAGGACUUUUACUUUGAAAAAAUUAGAGUGUUCAAAGCAGGCCUUUGCUCGAAUACGUUAGCAUGGAAUAAUAAAAUAGGGCGUGCGUUUCUAUUUUGUUGGUUUCUAGAGACGCCGCAAUGAUUAACAGGAACAGUCGGGGGCAUCAGUAUUCAGUUGUCAGAGGUGAAAUUCUUGGAUUUACUGAAGACUAACUACUGCGAAAGCAUUUGCCAAGGAUGUUUUCAUUAAUCAGUGAACGAAAGUUAGGGGAUCGAAGACGAUCAGAUACCGUCGUAGUCUUAACCGUAAACUAUGCCGACUAGGGAUCGGGCGAUGUUCUUUUUCUGACUCGCUCGGCACCUUACGAGAAAUCAAAGUU
rnacentral:rRNA from 1 species